GUGAGCAAGCCUCAAAAAACGAAAGAAAUAGUCUCAGCAAUUGCUUUUGUUUGUGUCUGAAUGCUCGCCUUGUAUUCCAGACGUACAUCGUUUAAGGGCAACGGCACCUUCAAUUCAAUCCUCACUAUUGUUUACAUAGUUGAUAAUUUAGCAGCUAUUCUGAGAGGAAAAUAGAACAGUCGGAAAACUUGAGAACUGCAGGUUCCCCAGUGCAUAGACCUUUGAAAUCCAUCAACAUUGAACUUGCUAACCUGUUCCAUUGCAUGCCAAAGCCAGAGUAAGAUAGUGCAGUGAGUUUAUGAGCUCAAAAAUGACAAUCUCAUAUGCUACGAGCAAGAAUUGCUUACAAAAUGAUCACUAUACAAAGGAUAGAUUGCAAGCUUUUAAAAGAAAAUGGGUUCAGCCGAAAAAUUACUCAGAACAUUUAAAGGCUUUGUCUUUGAGAUGUCAAAGUCUGACUAAAUCAUUCUGUCACAGAGUUCACUCAGGUCAGAACCGACAUUUCUAUUCCCCUGUAAUUUUGGAAUCAGUUUCUGUGACAACUCUCGAUUUACCUAAGCCUUACUUUGGAUAGUAACAAUAGGCUAGUGAUGAUAAUGAAAAAAAUGGACAGUGAAUGCUGUGUCAGUAUUCUAGCAGAAAGAGAGAAAUUUUAAGACAAAAAAAAUGAACUCGGGAAAAGGAGCACCAAGGUGUACACAACACUAGUGACGACUCCUCACAGUCUUCACUGUUCACAAAUAAUUCUGUCUCUCGUCCUAAUCGCACCACAUUGUCACUCAUAAAAAGAUCGGCAACAUACGUUUCCUCUCAAAGAGAACUUGUGGGUUCGGUCGAACCAUCAAUGUCUGGCUGCAAUUCAAACUGUGAAACUUUACUUGAUUGCAUUCGACCAAGGUUUGUGCUCUAAGAUGAACCUUGAAAGGCUCUAGGCUAGUUCGGCUUGAAAACACGGUACCAAUAGCGCCGCCCAGACACUUCAUCGGAGGAGAGCAGUAUCCUAUGUCACUUGAAUAAGCUCAAUAUUGAAGUCCGAGCUUUGAAAGACCAGUUCGAUUCCAUCGUCGACUGUACAGAUUAUCACCGAAACUAAGAAAAAUUUCACACGAAGUUUCAGAACGAAAUUCGUUUUGAAGGAAAGGUGUAUAACUCACACCCAAUGGACACGAUGAUGACAAUAUAGGGAUCGUUUGCUAGAGAUCACAAACAAAAACAGUAAUAUAAACAUAUUUUAGCUUGGAAUUAAACAAUCAAGUCGACAAUCAGCUUGUGUAGAAGUGACCAGCAACGACUGCAAAGUGAAGGCUCAGGCUUCAGCAUUCACCAAAUUCUCAAAUAUUGUUUACUUUUCAACACACAAAUUAAUAAAAGUAUGCAUGAAAAAAGAAAGAAAAAAAUAGAAGAGAUGAAGAAAAAUAUAUAAGUGGUUGUGUUAAGGUACAAAAUUAUUUAUGGAAUGUAAAAAAAAGAAAGAUUGACAAGAAGGUUAAGGAUGAAUGCAAUUCAUUUUUUUGUUAUUUGUGUGCACUUCUAAAGUUUAAAGUUUGUUGUUUAAGUUUGUUGGUACUAAAGCACAAGCAUAGAAGAGUGAUUGUGCAAGUACAAAAAAUACAACUUAAAUGCAAAAAAAUAUUUUGAAUAAAAAUAAAAUAAAUAAUUCUUUUUCUAUAUGUGUUUUUGUAGUAAAAUAGUUUGACCACUUUUCUGAAUUAUCUAUCAAUUUCAAUUGUUAUUAAUCCAAAUUAGAAUAAAUCUUAGUUGUUAUUUGAAUAUAGUUGUUAUUAUAAAUAAUUUUGAUUAUAUUUACAUACAAUGCUAGCCAUUUUUUAUCUAAUUUUAUUAUUAUUAUUAUUGAAAUUUUUAUUUAUAAACUAUUAUUUUCAUUAUCCUAAACAUAUUCUUGAUAAAUCUCAAAUCAAUACUAGCUUUUUUUUUUGCAAUCAUUGCCAGUGCAUCUCACUUAAAAGCUAUUACUAAAUAUUUUUAUUUUUAUUUUUAUGUCUUUCUAACAUUGUGUGUUACAGCUAUAUAAUAAAAUAUUUAUUAAUAUUAAUUGUUUAAAUAUAUAUAUAUAUAUAUAUAUAUAUGAUUAAUUAGUCUUACUCAAUUUUUAUCAUGAUUAUUUUUUGUUACUCCAAGAAAUUAUAUAUGUGAUAAAUUUGCUCCUUCUUUUUAUUUAAUCAAAAUAAAUAAAUAAAUAAAAUAUGCUCCCUCAUACAUAGACAUAUUGUUUUUAAAAACCUCUAAUAAUAAUGAGAUAUGAAUAUAAAUUAAGUGUAAUUAUUCUAUUUAUAUUUUAAAAAAUUCAUAUAUUAUUAAUAGUAGCAUUAUAGUUGGUUUAUAAAACCAACUUAUAUGAUCCAAUAUAUGUUUGUAUUAAAAAAAAACAAAAAAUAAAAGAACUUUUGUAAAUAUAUAACAAAGGUUAUUGUUUAAGUUUUUUAUUUAUUAUAUUUAAAAAAUAUUAGUUUUUAAAAUUAAACUACAAUAAUGUCUAUGAAUACAUGCUCAAACAUUGUGUAUGUAUAUUCAUUUAAAAGGUAAUUGUGUUUCGCUUCCUUGGAUAGAAGCUUGAGUACGUUUUGUGACAUACAGACAGAAGAAUGUUAAUUUAAGUGGAAAUUGGAAAAAAAAUAGAAUAUAUAAUUAUCUAUAGCUUUAUAAAUAAUUAUGCAUUAUUUUCUAAAGUAUCAAAUUUAGAACGAGGGCAUUUUUUUAUGUUUUUUUUUCGAAAUUUCCACCAAUUACGACUUCAGAUACAUCAUUACAAAUGGUUUAAGAUCAAAAAUUACUUCUAUGUAUUUUGAAAAGUCUAAAUGCCAAUCAAACCACAUUUGGAAUCUUUUCAUGUAAUUUCAUUCUAAAAAAACACCAUAUCUUCUCUUGACCUCAUCAUUUUUAUUUCAUAUAUGCAUUGUUGCACAAUUAUGUCAUUUAUAGAUGUACUUCUAUGUAUAUACUUCACAUGUCAAAAUAAAGCAAAGAUUCAUUUCAAUGUUGAUAUAAUAAUUCUACUUCAUGAAAUUAUAUGAGAUAAUAUCUUGAUCAUCCACAACUUGGUUAUUAUUCUGUUAUUAAUAUUAAAAAUUCCAAAAAAUAUAAAAAAAUUAGCGGUGUUAUAGAUCAAAUUAUCCUACCAAAUUAUAAAGUAAUUACACAAUGUUUAUAAAAUGGAUGUGAAGAAGUAGAGAAAUUUACUUAAACCAAUAUGCUCAACAAGAUAAAUUUUUGCAACAGGAAUAUAUUUGAAAAAAAAUCAUGAGCUCAUUAAUUAUUGAAUUAUUAGAAAAUAAAGAUGAAAAACUCAUGAUGAUGAAAAGAAACAUGUAUAAGUAGAUACUAAGCAUGUAAGCAAAGAAUACAAGAGACUUUAUGUGCACAAAAACAAUUUGAACAUUGUUGUGUCUAUAUAAAAUUGUUAUGCAAUUAAAUAACAAAGAUGGAGUACAUGUAAACACAUGUGGACAACAAAGACAAACAUCACAUGGAAAAGCAACACUAUAUGUACAACAAGAAAAAAAAGAAGAGGAAGGGAAUAUGAUACAAUGAAAGAAAUUAGUGAAAAAAUAAAGCAUCUUGAACUUAAAGUUCAAAAUAAAAAAGUUUCUUUUUUUAUUUUGCUUUUAUUUCAACAUCUUUGAAUGUUGCUAUAAUUUUAUAAAUAUAAACAUUCAAUGCCUACAUUAUAGAAUAUUCUAUUGGAUGGACAAAAAAAUUAAUUAUUUUUAAGACUAAAUCUAAGAUUUGGUAUAUGUUUUCUUUGUGGAAAGGUUGAAGUUUCACUUUUUAAAGAUCCUUUUUUGUUAAUUAUAUAAUUUUAUAAUAGAGAAGAUAAAUAAAGUGAAGAAUUUUAGAAGAAUAUUUGGAAGUACAAUAGAAUAAAUGCAUUUAUAUCUUUUAAUAUAAAAUUUGACAAUACUUUCUUACAAGAUCAUGGUCCAUAUAAUUUUUACAUACUUUGAAAACUUUGCAUUCACAUAGAUGCUCUUUUUUUAAAACAAGGAUAAAAAAUUAAAAAUUUAUAUGUAAAAUUACAUAUAUAAUGUUGAUAUGGCACAAAUACUCUAUAACGAAAAUUUACCAAUCCAAACAAUAUAGGAGCUUUAUAAAUGUUUAACAAAGUAUUAUGUGUUUUUCCUACUUUGUUAAUAAAGUCAUGAAAUAUUUUCUAAAUCAAAUAAAUAAAUAAAUAAAUAAAUAAAUGAGAAAUAAAUUAUACUAACAUCUUCUUUUUAGUAAAGAUACUAAUAAGUAAAAUUUUAAUAUUUCAACUUCUAAGAAGGUCACUAUUAUUUUGUCUAAGAAUAGAAUAAAAACAAAAGGAAUAAAAGAUAUAGAUGUUCAAUAGAAAAGAGGUCUAAUGCAACAAAUUUGUAAAAAAACAUAAUAUAUACUCACCAUUCUAAUAUAUAUAUAUAUAUAUAUAUAUUCAUACUCAUACACAAAACAUGGAUGGUAUAACCAAAUGAGGCAUAAAAAUAUGAAUGGCAAAGAAGAUGGAAAUAGAAAUAAAAAGAUUAUACAAAUCAAUCAAAUAGAAUUUUAUUUGUAUCAAUAGUUUCUAUAAUAUAAGAAGUAUUCUACCAUCUUACAAGAUAUUUUUUUUAAUAAUAAUUUAUGGUGGAUGCUUUAAUAGCAACCAAGUUGAAUCAAUUGAGAUAUUUGAGUAUAAAUCAAGAGAAGUUAUGUGCAAAUUUUUAUAAAGGAAUAGCAAGUAUUAUUGGAGAUAUGCAAAACCAUGAACUUCAAAUAUAUAAUCUAGAAUAAAAGAUAAUUCUUUUGCCAACUUAUAGUAAGAGUGGAAGAAACUAGUUUAAAAUCUUUUAAGUCUCUAUAUUCAAUAUUUUUUACAUCCACAUAUAUUUAGAAGAUUGAUUACAAAUUCAUAGUGACUAGAAAACUUAAGUAGAUUUCUUUGAAGACAAAAGACCAAAGAUUGUUCUAACUUUGUAGUCCAAGUAUUUGAAAUCAAGUGUAAUGCAUUAUUUGAGAAUAUUUGAAAAUAAAAUUUUAAAAAAUAACACUGCAAGAAUGCAAACCAUUAAUUUUUAUAAAAUAAGACUUUAAACAUGUAUUUUUUAAAAUUUGAGCAAGAGAAGAAAAUAAAAUAAAUAAUUCAUAUCAAUAAGUUUUUUUUUUUUUGUUAAUUUAGAUAAUUUGAUCUUGUAUAAUUUAAAAUUCAAAAUAUAUGAAUUCAAUAAAUAAUAGAAAAAAAUAUUAUAAGAUGUAUUUAAAAAAUAUUAAAAUCCAACAUCAAUGGAUGGUGAUGAUUAUUUUUAGUAUCAUAGAAAAAAUAAUAUAAAAAAUUUGUAUGAAAAAAUAAUAUAAAAGUAUUUAAUUAACCACUGUUGAUAAUUAAGUUGUAUAUAAUUAAGUUGUUAUCUUAUAUAAUCUUGAUAUUAGCAAAAAGUAUAAUUUUCCUAUUAACAUGGAGGUUUGUGCUUUAAUUUAAACACUAAAAUAUAUUUAUAAGUGAAUCUAUAAAAAAUGUGAUUGUUCAAUAAUGCCAAUAGAAAAUGAAGAAAAUGAAAUUAAGAAAUAUAUUGAUAUAAUAAUCUUGAAGAGUUAUAUUACUUAGAUGAAGAAGAAGGAAGUGGAAAAAUAUUUUUUUAUACAUAAAAAAUAAAAAAUUCUAAAAACAAACAAAGAUUGUUUUAAAUGUAACUUCCUAUCAAAUUCUAGUACAACUUAUAAGAAGUGGAUACAUUGCAUAUUCUACAUUCAAAAAAAAUCUUAUUCUUUGUAAAGAUUUAUUUUGUAGCUGAAAGAACCUUCUAGAGCAUAUAUGAAAUUGAAAAGAUAUUUGGAAGAAUUAUGGUAGUCUUAAGUGAAGAUUUUUAAUGUAGUUGUAAAAGAACUAAGAUAGAAGUUUGUUGACACCUCUUUACAAUAGUUUAUGAUUUGGUCCCAUAUUAAAAUAUGCAAGCUUACCAAAAAUAUGUAUUAAGGAGGUGAAUUAAAGAAAAAAAAAAAAAAAAAAAAAAAAAAUGCUUGUUAAAAAGUUCUUAAAAAUAUACAUUGUAUAUUUUUAGUAUUUUGGAAAAUUUAAUUUUUAUGACAAAAUGUUUGACUUUGAUAUACCAAAAUAUAUUAUUUUAUUACAUAUUAGAGAUAGAUUUUUAAUUAUUGAUCUUAAGAUAGAUACAAUGAUCCUUUUAGAUUGCAUAAAAAUAUGUUCAAUAUCAAAAGCUUUUAUUUAAGUCAUAUAAUAAAGACUAAAGAAGUUGGAAAAUGUAGAGAUGAAUAUAUGAUUGACAUGUCAAUUCUAUUUGUUCAAAAUGAUAAUAAUGAUGAUCUAAACAUGCAUGCCCUAAAAAUACUUUAAAGACUUCUACAUGUUUAUUUUAAUACAAUUAUAGUGGUAAUCAAAGAUAGUGCCAACAAUAGCAAUUGUUAUGAAAGGAAGUAUAUAAAUAGUUUAAGUUGAGAUGGAUUGAUAUUGUUUAAAUUAGAGCCAAAGGUUAGAUAUUCCAUUAUAUUGUUGUAAAAUAAUACUCAAUGUAAAGGACUUUGCAAUAGAUUACACUUAAUCAUAACAUAACUAACAUUUCAAGUCAUAGAAGGAAGACUAUUAAUUAGAAACCACAAAAGACAAUUAUCUUUUUUUCCAAUGAGCAUGUUAUGUCCAUCAUCUACAAAGAUAUUAUUCAAGUUCUAACAAAGGUAGUUUAAAUUAAAGUUUGUAUUUGCAAUGACAAUAAAUAAAUCCUAAAAACAAUCAUCGAAGAGUAUAGAAAUAGAUCUUCAAAUCCAAGCAUUUGCACAUGGACUAUUGUGUGAUCUUUUUUCAUAAUUUACUUCUUUGAUUACAAUCAAGAUUUUUUAUCCCAAAGAUAGUGAAGCUCAAAAUACCACACAAAUAUAAUUUACUUAAAUUUUUAUUGCACUAGCUGUUUUAACAAAUAAAAAAGAUUCUUCAUCAAUAAUAUUAAAGAAGCAUAAAUAGUUUCAUAGUCAUUAAUUAAAUAUACCUAUAUAUAUAUAUAUAGUUUUUUGGAGGUUUACAUUUCUUAUUUUAGGUGGAAAGAAAGAUAAUUGUGCACAAUUCGGACCAGAAGGCUCGCACGCAUAGCAAGAAAGAGAAAAGCCUGCUGCUGCUGCUGCUGAGAGUGUGUCCCUCCGCCCCCUGCACAUAAACCCUAAUUUUAUGUCACCGCAUUCGCAACACAGGGACACACGUCCAAGCCCGUCCUGCACACCCUGGAGCUCUCUCUCUCUCUCUGUCUCUGACAACAUCCUGCCUUGCCCUGGGAAUUGGGCUCCCACAAAUCCAUCUCCAUGUCUGCGUUGUCCGCAGCCUGGCUGAUAAAUAUCCCGUUGCAUGCACUUUGCCCCAAUUUCCGUCCCUUUUCCGUCCAUUUUUCUCCUCUCCUACUCUUUUCAUUCCCAGCCCAAUAUGACGAUGGCACCGGUCACGCUGUCGUCAAGGGUGCGUCAUCUCUGUCUCAGCACCCGACGACUCACUGCUCGCUCUGCUGCGGUGCAGGCGCAGCGAUGUCCUUCCCUGCUGCUGCUGAGGUGCAUCGCGACCUGAGGGUCCGGUGGGCUUUGUGCUCACGCCGCACAUUCUUCGAGGGGAGCGGGCGGGCGAGCUCUCACAUGUUGGACUGACGGGUGGGAAUCACGGGGCCGUGACGGGUGGUGUGUUGUGAGUGGCGUCACCACGGAGCCAGCAGUGGCACGGUGACAGGGGUGCCUGACGCCCGCCAGCUAACUAGCUAGUUUUAGCUGGAUGGCUCUCUACCUUCGAUUUAGCGCCUGCACAAUCAUGGAUGGUCCUUUCUUCACUGUUCUCUUUGACUGGAAUGAUCUGACAUGUAAUUUUGAUUUUUUAUGAAAACAAUUAUCAUCAGUAGAAAAUCAACAUAAACCACUAAUCUGGGACAAAGUUUUGUUUGAAUUGCAAGAGGGAACUAUAAUGCUAUGUUUGUGUGUUUAUAUAUGUUUAUGUGUAUAUAUAUAUAUAUAUAUAUAUAUGUGUGUGUGUGUGUGUGUGUGUGUUGUGAAUAUAUGUAAUUUUAAGUUUUCUAGUUCUAUUGUUGUUAUUUAUGCAAGGAGGCUGUUUGGAAGUAUAUUUUUUUCCCAUAUGCUUUGUUUUUAUGUUAGUGGUUUGUAUCUAUGUAUAUAUGUAUAUACAUGAUUUACCCAAAAAACAACUAUUUUGCAUGCCAUUUUUGUAUAAAAUAAGCACAGAGCCUAUUCUAUAUCUCUUGCAUACUACACUUCACAAUCCUAUGAUUUUAACUUUAUAAUACCACAAUCUAAUCCUUUCAAAAAUAUACACAGAACUUCAUAUAAGUUUCAAAUUAAAAACCAGGUCUAAAUCUCAUAAAAAAAUUCACUUUGUGGUUUGUCCAUCUCAUCAUCUACUACAUGUGGUAAUCAAGUCUCUUCCUAUAGUUAUUCUAUUGUAAUUUUUGUAAUAAAAAUGGCAAUGUGAAAUCAAAGCCUAAUUAAAAUUUGUUGUUAGUUAGAACUAAAGGAAUUUUUAAAUAAAACAAAACUAUCCAUUGGCAUAUACAUAUAAAGAAAUUGUAAUUCUAUUACUACUAUCAUAUUUGGUUUAGCAACAAAUUCUAUUGGUUCUUAGACAAGUUUUUGCAAUUUCAUAGAAAGACCUAUGAAAACUAUUUUUCUCUAAAAUUUUCUUGUUGGAAUUAUAAAACUAUUUUUUCUUAUAUAUAUACAAGAAGAAUUUCAAAAGUUACAUAGAUUAUUUUGAUUUCUUUUCAAUUAUUUUAGAAUUAUCUUUUAUUUAAUAAUAAGAAUAUUUUCAAAAAAUAAUUACAUGUAUGGAAAAAGGGUAAUUUUAAUAUUUACAAAGUCUAAAGGAUCAUGUGAUCUUUACAAUUUAGAUCUUUUUAAGACAACAUAAAUUUUCAAUAUUUUUAUUAAAGUCUAAUUAAGAUUUUAGAGGUUUUUAAAGUUUUAUGAGUAGUCAUACAAAUGUCUUAUUGAAAAUAUCUUAUUCCUAAUUUUAAAUCAAAUCUUCAUUUUAAGUUAAUAUUUCAUUUUUAGAAAAUUAAAAACACAAUAGAAAUAUAUUUCUUUCCUAUCUUAGUUUCAUUAAUGAUUGAAAAUUAUUUUGAUUUUCAUUAAUGAUUAAAAAAUUAUAUUCAUAUAAUUAUAUAUUAAAAUUGAUUUACUAUAAAAAGUAAAAGUUAAUUUUAGUUACUAUAGACUAAUUACAAGUGAUGGAAAUUUUACAAGAUGUCAAUCUCAAUCUUUAACAUCCAAUUAGAGAUUCUUUAAAGUAUUUUGAAAUUUUAAAAGAAUAUCUAAAAAGUACAAUUUUAUAACUAAAACAAUAUAUAUAUAUAUAUAUAUAUACAUAUAUUUUCUAAGGAAAAUUAACAAUCAAUGAAAAUUAUACCCAAAUCUAUUGACAAUGAAGACUCUUUUAAUAUCAUAAACAACCAAGUGUCUAUAAACAAUACUACAUCCAAUUUCUUAUGAAUACUAGUAUUGAUGGUUUUUUUUUAGUAAAAAAAUAUUAUUUUUUCCAAAUAUUGAAUAGAAAUAAAGUAUUAUAUUUGAUAUGCUAUUGAAUAGAAUUAAUUAUUAAAUAAAUUUGUAACUAAAAAUUAAGUAUUUAUUAAUUUUUCAAAAUAAUCUACUAUAAUUAUUAAUAUUUUUCAAAUUAAGAAUCUAAGUUUGAUAAAAAUUAAAAAAAUUAUUCUUUACCCAGAGAUAAUUCAUCAUAUAAUUUUAAUAUUUAAUAAUAAUUUUUUUUAAAGAUUAAAACAAAAAAUAUCACAACUCCAAUAAAUUAUGUAAUAUCUCUAUAAUUACUAGAAAUUCGUACUUGUUUAAAUAUAUAUAAAUAUUUCUUAAUUAGAAAUUUAAUUUAAUACUAUAAUUUUUAUUAUUCAUUGAUAUCUUUUAAAAAUAAUUUCUCAUAAUUUCUAAUUAUACUUAUUGUUUUAAUAUUUUUUAAUAUUAUUCUAUUUAGCAUAUUUUUAGAAAAAUAUUCAUUCUAAUAUUUAACUUAAUUAUAAUAUAGAGUUUUUUAACACUACUAAUUUCUUCACCUUUUAUUGCAACAUCUCAAGAUUAAUUAAAGAUGUUUUCAAAUUUAAAAUAAGAAUAUAAUGUAUAAUUGAUUUAUCCAAACAUGAUUUUAUUUAGCACAAAAAAUCUAUAGAAACUGAAUGAAAAUGUUAAAACAUACAAUGAUAAAAAAAUAAAAAAUAAAAUCUUUGAAAUCAAAUAAUAAAUAUUAUUCAUGAUAUUUUAUUUCUAUUCCUAUUUAUUCUUUUAAAAUCAAAAGAUUAAUAUCAUAAAGAUACAUGAUUUUUCUUUUUAUAAAAAGACUACAAAAGUUAUACACAAUUAUAUUUUAUAAAUUCUAACUUAGUACUAUUUCUAUUAGCUCUUUAUUCAUUUUAAUCUCCUACAAGUCUAAUUUUGUAAGUUCACUACAUGUGAUAAAAUUCAUUAUUUUUUUAUUCAUUAUUAACUUCAAUCUACUCUAACAUAGAUUAUUAAAUGCCAUCUAUAUUAUCUACUAUUUUUCUAAAAACUCCGCUUGGAUUUAAUUAUAAAAGAUAAAAUAAAAAACCAUAUAUUUCUAUUAUUAGAUAUAUUAUUAGUCAUUAUAUAUAUAUAUAUAUAUAUAUAUAUAUAUAAUACCUCAACUUUUUAAUUCUAUAAAAAACUUUAAUUAUCCAAUCAACUAGAUAGAUUCUCAAGUAAGUUUUGUUUGGCUAUUUCAACCUACUUAUCAUGGUAAAGUAAAUAAAUAUUUUAUAUACAACUAAUCAAAUAGUUGAGAGAAUGUAAUUUACAAAUAUUACAUAAUUAGAUUCUUGUCAUUAUUUGCAAUAUAGUGAAGUACAUAAAAAAAGAAUUUUUUAAAGCAUAAAAAAUUAUGGCCAAAGAUUUAUAUUGUAAGUCUUUAAAAAAUUAUUUUUUAGAAUUAAAUUAUUCUUAUGGCUCUAAAAAAAAUUAUACCUAAUAGGUCCACUCUUGGUGAAAACUACAAUUCUUUGUAUGCACAAUAUUUAUAUUUAUUUAUAAAUAUUUAGUAUUAUAAAAAUAAAUAAUUCAUAGCUUAGAGAGUAACAAAGAUAAAAUACAUCUUAAAUUGUAUAAAAUAAAAAACUUAGUUAAAAAAAUAGAACUCAUUUUAACAUUAUCAACUCAAAUAUUUAAAUUCUAUAAAUUCUAAGGUUCACUAAUAGUCCAACUCUUUUUAAAAUAAAUAACUAAAUAAGAUUUUUUUUUACCAAUUUAAAUUUAUUAUAUUUUUCUUUAUUAAAUAAUUUUUUCUUAGCCAUUAAAAAAAGAAGAAGAAGAGAGAUCUAUUUGAAAUUUAAGAUAGAUAACUUUCAGGAAAAUUUUAAAAUAAAAAAACAAACUUGAAUGAUCAAAAGAUAUAUUUAUUUUAAAAAUCCCAUUUAACUUCACCACCCAUUAAAUAAAAAUUAAAGAUUUUUUUUAAGAAAAUAUAAAAUAUAAAACAAAAAAAAAUCUUAUAGUAAUAAGAUCUCUAAGAUAAGUAAUUUAGAUCCCUUUGGAAUUAGAAUGAAAUCUUGAUGAUGACUUCUAGCAUAAUUUAUAUAGCUUAAAUACAAUAUCAAAAUUAGAAAUUAUAUAUAUAUUGAAACUAUACUUUUUUAUAAUUCUAAUAUUAAUUGUGAAAUAUGUAGAAGUAUUAGACUUUCAAUUCUUUUUUCAUAGCAAUUUUUUAGAACAUAAAUGAAAAUUUUAAAAAUAUCUAUCUUUAUUUGGCUUAUUUGGCACAAUAAAAUUAUAUUAAAUAUCUAGAUAUUGAUAAUAUACUAUUGAUAAUAUACUAUUAUAAAGUGGUGUAUGAUCUAAGUUAAAGUUCUUAGAUUAUUUAGAGAUAAAUAUAAUACUGAUAUAUUCUAAGAUAAAAGUUGACCAAAUAUCAAAAUAGAACUAAGAAUAUGGAGCUACUUAUAAAAUAUGGAAAAUUUGAUUAUUGCAAAAUUAAAGGAAGGAAAAGAAUAAAUAAUAAAUCAAGAGCAAUUAUUGAAAACAACACAAUUCUUGAAGAAGUUCACAAAAAUAUGGAUGAGUGAUAUUAGACUAGACAUUACAGAAACUAAACAUGUCAUUUGGUGAAACUAUUCUCUAUUUUCUUAAAUUUAUAUAUUCUACCUUAUUUUUCGAAGAGGUCUGUAAGCUUAAAACUACCCACAACUUUCAAUUCCUUCAAUUGGUUAAAUUACAGACUCUUCAAUUCCAACUAAUCAAAGGAUUUAAUUUUUUUUGGUUUUCUCACAUUUUCUCUUAAGUGUAAAGACUAGUAAAUCUUUACAAGUACUGUGGAAAUUUGUAAUCUACUACUCUUAUUUAAUAACUAGAGUUUAACCCUCGAAUGCUUCAAAAUAAAAGUGACUCUCCAACAAACUCACUCUGAGCCGAAGGAAUCACCUUAGGAUUUCAGGAUUAAUCAGCAACUGGGUACAUCGACAGUAGUGAAGAAUAAUGAAAACAACAAAUAAACAAAUAAAAACAAAUGACAAUUCUCCGACCUUUCAAUGGUGGCGAUGCUCCAUGGCUUGUCAAGGCACUGGAGAGAGUCUCGAGAACGGCGCCCACAAAACUGGUGAUCUGCCAGAAAAAAGUGUCCUGCGUUUCCAGACACUGAAACUGUAUGAGGACUAACUUAACUUGGUAAUUCUCAUGUCAAAACCCACGAGAUGCUUAGGCGCCACUGACAAACUACUGCUUCCCCUGGACGAUUCCUCAGUUGGAUCGGCGAAUUCGUGCCCAUACCCUCACUUCAUUUAUUGUAGUAGGAACAUGACAAAAAGCAAACUAUGACGUUGCUUUCGUUUUCCAGUGAUUUGGCAUUGAAAUCGACCAGGAUUCAGCUUUAAGAGUUCCCACACGGGACGAUACGUGGGAGUCAGAAGACCAUGCCGUAGUUCCGACUUUUUACUCUGGUGUAACUUCACCGAAGCUGAUCCUAUGCCAUUGAGGUCAAGGUUGGAUUGACGAUUCGAAUCGAACGAGCCGGAAUGUUCCGAUGACAUUCUGAUCGAUCCCAGAACAAUCAAGUGAGUAGAAAAUUGCAGCUCAUGCUCUGGCAGCUGUAGCUUCACGUGCUGAUUAGCCCACUUGACUCUUGGGAGAAUGCACACUGACAUCACAUUUUAUGAUAUAGGGAAUAGACAAAGGUGAGAUCGGUGUCGACGCCAACGCGAAUUGUCGGUAAAUUGUAACUUUGUCUGCCGAUGCUCGAUUCGGAUCGAAACUUUUACCAGCGAUAUGGCAGACAUGACUGCUGCUGCUGCCGAGCAGCUCCACCUCUCCGGACCCUCACGACCUACGUUUACUGUCGUCGCUCGAGGAAAUAGAGUAGCUUGUGUGAAGCACGAGCUGUUUGGAACAGGUUACCACUUCCAGAAACUGUGGCGAUCAAACUCACUCAAGUGAUUGAAUGCGAACCGUAGAACAGUAUACAUGGGAGCUACGGUUCGGUCGAAAGUGUUGUCAUUUGAUGAUGGAUAUCGACAGUUUUUAGUGAGCCUGGUUAGUGCAUAAUAAUUGUGUCAGGGUACAGUGUUGAAUCCUUGACGUCUGAUGUUUCGCCCACGUGAACCUUGACUCAGCAAUCUUCAGAGGCCUAUAUUAACCUGGCGAGGAGUCACUCGUCUUUCAGGUCUCAGACUUCGAGGAGUGUGCUAGCCCCACGCCUGAUCCCGGCCCUCGGUUCGAUUCUUAUCGCUUCUCCAGUGGGUUACUGCAAGUCCGGUUCAGCUCGGAAAAUUGAAGUGGGAGGGGGGGGGGGGGGUGUUACGUUGGUCGAUCAAAUUGGGAGCUAUGGCUUCCUUCAGAGCCGGUGCGGCAGUGUCUCUGUGCCUGAUGACACUCGUGACGAUGCUCAGUGUAGAUGCUCUCACCACUGACUUCUACGCCAAGUCGUGCCCGCGAAUUCACUCCAUUGUCAAGGCGGAAAUCAAGAAAGCUGUAAAUGUCGAGAAGAGAAUGGCCGCCUCCCUCAUCCGCCUCCACUUCCACGACUGCUUCGUGCAUGUAAGUGUUGGGCAUGUUUACUCCAAUCAGCUCGUGUUGUCCUUCAACCCCCUGCCAUUCAUCGUCUCAUGCUUCCAAUUUUAGAAGAAUGUGCUAGUGGAUCAAAUUUGGCAAGUAUUUUGAAGGAUACCAAUAAACAAUCUCUUGCAGUCUCACGACUGGGUUCGGGUUAAUAUUUUUUGGUUUGUUUUGUUUGCAUUCUAUUCGUACUUAGUUUAUUACAAGUAGCUGCAUUUGAGUGUAUCUUAGCUCCAUCAUUUCACCAAGCGGAUUGUCAAUGUGAUUUGUAACAGGGAUGCGAUGGAUCGAUACUCUUGGACAGCAUCCCAGGAAUGGAUUCAGAGAAAUUUGCACCCCCGAACGACAGAUCUGCAAGAGGGUACGAGGCGAUUGAUGCCAUCAAGGUCGCAUUAGAGAAGGCUUGCCCCAGGACAGUCUCAUGCGCCGACAUUUUGGCCAUCGCAUACCGUGAUUCAGCUGUUGAGGUACACUCUCGUUCAAAACUUCGCAAUACUGUGUGAUUCAUCUUGUACAUGAUCUCGGGUAUCAAACGCAACAUGCCCAUUGUGAGAGGUCGUUUUUUCUGUCUCAAAAUAUUUCAUGGUUGGAUUCCACAGGUUGGGUUGGUACCCGAAUAUCCAGUGCCCUUCGGUCGCCGCGACAGCCUGAGAGCAGCUCCUAUCGCUGAAGUCAAUUUACGGCUGCCAGGACCAGACUUCGAUAUCUCCACAUUGAAAGCAAGCUUUGCUAAUCAGAGCUUAGACGAGAGAGAUCUUGUCGCGCUGUCCGGUGCUCACACAAUCGGCAGAGUUAGAUGUCAGUUUGUCAGAUUAUUUCUCAACGACCCCGGUACGAACGCAGACUUCAAAAAGGAACUGGCCAGAUUAUGUGCACCAACUGUCGACGCCUUCACACUGCAGAACUUGGACCUGAAAACACCAGAUAAGUUCGACAACAACUACUACAAGAACCUGCGAAGAGGCGAGGGCAUUAUCCGAAGCGACCAGGUUCUGUGGAGCUCCGAAGGCACUCAUCAAAAAAUCACAAAGGACUUCGCAGAGAACCAGGAGAACUUCUUCCGCCAGUUCAUAGAGAGUAGCAUCAAGAUGGGUAAGAUCAAGCCACCCCCAGGGAGUCCUAGUGAGAUCCGGUUGAACUGCCACCAGGCCAAUCCCCGGCCCCUCAUCGAGCAGGUUGUGGCUGUCGAGUGAUUUGCUUGCUUCGACAUGUGGACAAUCGGCGGCUUCAUCACGUUCUGGAAGGCCGUCGAAAACGAGUUCUGCCCUCUGCGAACAAGAUUGAAAGAUGGUAGUGGAAUGAAUUGGUGAAGUUUGUCAUUCCAUUUCGAGGGCCAGGAGAGCAAUUUGCAACAGUAUAAACCUGAUAAGUUAUGAGGAGGAUUGUGCAAUGUCGGUGCUGUCAUGUUGGUGCAGGAAGACGGUGCCCUGUUUUGUUUUCAAGGACUUGUCAAUUCUGUUUGUGUUCUUGCUUAGACGAAUGUAAAUGCAGUUUU
rnacentral:lncRNA from 1 species